CGGCGGACGGGUGAGUAACGCGUAGGCAACCUGCCCUUUGCAGGGGGAUAGCCAUUGGAAACGAUGAUUAAAACCUCAUAAUACUAAAUAGUCACAUGGCUGUUUGGUCAAAGAUUUAUCGGCAAAGGAUGGGCCUGCGUCUGAUUAGCUAGUUGGUGGGGUAACGGCCUACCAAGGCGACGAUCAGUAGCCGACCUGAGAGGGUGAUCGGCCACAUUGGAACUGAGACACGGUCCAAACUCCUACGGGAGGCAGCAG
rnacentral:rRNA from 1 species